CGGCAGAGUUCUUCAAGGUUUAAUGUUAGCAAUAACAGGGAGCUUCAGAAACUGCCAGCUUUAAAAGGCAGAGACUUCAUAGCUGUGCCAAAUUCUGACUCUGUUCUGUGUAAAAGAACAUCAGGGUGGUGUCUCAACUUGUCUGCCUGUGAUACAGAACUCUGAUAGGGAGGCAAGCAUUAUUAAAGCUUUCCUAAUGUUUUUAAGCCAUAAAUGGCUGUCUAGGAGAUAGCUCUGUUUUCAUUAUCUGUACAAUAUUAAAGUCUGAUGAAUCAAAGUUGCAGAAGAGGUGAUUCUAGUUUGAGUCUGAUACCUAAAAAAAAAAAAAUAACAAUUGAAACAAAUUUUGAUUGCUAAAACUGUUGAAACCACGAGAAAGGAGGAAAAAGUGAGAAUUUUUCAAGAGGUCAGAAAUGUAAGAUUGUGUGUUUUUCUCAGUUGCAGAGUAAAGAUAAGUAAGCAAAACUGAUAUCAAGUAAAGGAAGAAGCAGUAUUGUUCUCUGUGUUGCAGAGAAAUUCAGCCACAUAUGUUGAUAAUUUCCACAAACUCUUCUUGGAAUAUGUUUAAACUUAAGCAGAGUGUGUUACCUGUUCAUUUAAAACCAACAUCUGUUUUCAUGAUACAAAAGAGACUGACUGGACAUGUGCAAUGUAAUUAAAUUUAUGGGAAUCAU